rnacentral:lncRNA from 10 species
AAGAUUUUGCCUGCGCUUCCCUGCAGCAACAGCUGUGGCUUCUUGCAAAGCAAUUAAGCCUGUGGCUAGGAUUCCAGUCCCAUCUCAUCUCAGCAGCCUCGCAGCCUUGGAACUUUCUUGAUGGAGACUCUUAAUCGAUGGCAUUUCUUUGUUUUUGCCCUGGCAUCUCAGAUGGUGGCAUUCCCGAGGCUGAUUAGCUCCAAGUUCCUUCCCUGUGAAGCCAAAGCCACCAUGUAAUUUCCAUUAGACCUGAAAAUGAUCCUGAUUUAAAGCUUAGAUGGAGCCCAUAAGCCAUCAUCUAAUCAUACUUAAAAAGUUACUGGCCUGGGCUGUAUGUUCUUCAUUUCUUUAGUAGUAAAAUCAUUCUUAAAAAUAUAUCACUCUUUGUGAACCAUCAAAUCAGCCUGAUGACAGCCUAGUUUAGAAUUGAGUGCUGCAGUAAAUGUCAGAACUCUGAUGCUGACUUUCUGUGUGACUUUGGGUUUUUCCUCCAAGUCUUGACUGAGACUGAGUCUACAUGACACCAAAACACCCAAACGAAAAAGAAAAAUUCACUUGAACCACUUAGAUGUUUCUUCACCAAAUCCAGAUGUUUGGCAGUGCAGAUAAUACUUCUGGAUAAUGAGUGACUCCCCCUACAAUCAACACUUUCAUCACACUGCUUUAAUUAAAAAAAUAGUUC